UCCAAACAAAUGUUUUCUUUAGUUGAUGC
rnacentral:piRNA from 1 species